UCUCCGUUGGUGAACCAGCGGAGGGAUCAUUAGAGAGUUUUCACAACUCCCAACCCUUGCGAACCGUACCCCUUCUGUUCUCGUUGCUUCCGGCGGGGGGGACGGGGGGCCCCGAAACGGCCUCCCCGCCCCCCCCGCCAGGGGAGGCGGGCCCUACGAACCUUUAUAUCUCAACCACCAGACACCGUCGGAGAAAACAAACAAAAUAAUCAAAACUUUCAACAACGGAUCUCUUGGCUCUG
rnacentral:misc_RNA from 1 species